CCUACGGGUGGCAGCAGUGAGGAAUAUUGGUCAAUGGACGCAAGUCUGAACCAGCCAUGCCGCGUGCAGGAAGACGGCUCUAUGAGUUGUAAACUGCUUUUGUACGAGGGUAAACGCAGAUACGCGUAUCUGUCUGGAAGUAUCGUACGAAACAGCAUCGGCUAACUCCGUGCCAGCAGCCGCGGUAAUACGGAGGAUGCGAGCGUUAUCCGGAUUUAUUGGGUUUAAAGGGUGCGCAGGCGGCGUGUUAAGUCAGCGGUAAAAUUUCGGGGCUAAACCCCGACGAGCCGUUGAAACUGGCUGGCUAGAGUGGGCGAGAAGUAUGCGGAAUGCGUGGUGUAGCGGUGAAAUGCAUAGAUAUCACGCAGAACUCCGAGUGCGAAGGCAGCAUACCGGCGCCCAACUGACGCUCAGGCACGAAAGCGUGGGUAUCGAACAGGAUUAGAUACCCCGGUAGUC
rnacentral:rRNA from 1 species